ACGGAGAGUUUGAUCCUGGCUCAGGAUGAACGCUGGCGGCGUGCUUAACACAUGCAAGUCGAACGAACCUUCGGGUUAGUGGCGGACGGGUGAGUAACGCGUGGGAAUCUGCCCUCAGGAGGGGGAUAACGGUUGGAAACGGCCGCUAAUACCCCAUAUGCCGAGAGGUGAAAUGAAUUUCGCCUGAGGAUGAGCCCGCGUCUGAUUAGCUAGUUGGUGAGGUAAUGGCUCACCAAGGCAUCGAUCAGUAGCUGGUCUGAGAGGAUGAUCAGCCACACUGGGACUGAGACACGGCCCAGACUCCUACGGGAGGCAGCAGUGGGGAAUUUUCCGCAAUGGGCGCAAGCCUGACGGAGCAACGCCGCGUGAGGGAUGAAGGCCUCUGGGCUGUAAACCUCUUUUCUCAAGGAAGAAGAUCUGACGGUACUUGAGGAAUAAGCCACGGCUAAUUCCGUGCCAGCAGCCGCGGUAAUACGGGAGUGGCAAGCGUUAUCCGGAAUUAUUGGGCGUAAAGCGUCCGCAGGCGGCUUUUCAAGUCUGCUGUUAAAGCGUGGAGCUUAACUCCAUCAAGGCAGUGGAAACUGAUUGGCUUGAGUGUGGUAGGGGCAGAGGGAAUUCCCGGUGUAGCGGUGAAAUGCGUAGAUAUCGGGAAGAACACCAGUGGCGAAGGCGCUCUGCUGGGCCAUAACUGACGCUCAUGGACGAAAGCCAGGGGAGCGAAAGGGAUUAGAUACCCCUGUAGUCCUGGCCGUAAACGAUGAACACUAGGUGUCGGGGGAAUCGACCCCCUCGGUGUCGUAGCCAACGCGUUAAGUGUUCCGCCUGGGGAGUACGCACGCAAGUGUGAAACUCAAAGGAAUUGACGGGGGCCCGCACAAGCGGUGGAGUAUGUGGUUUAAUUCGAUGCAACGCGAAGAACCUUACCAGGGUUUGACAUCCUGCGAAUCUCUUGGAAACGAGAGAGUGCCUUUGGGAACGCAGUGACAGGUGGUGCAUGGCUGUCGUCAGCUCGUGUCGUGAGAUGUUGGGUUAAGUCCCGCAACGAGCGCAACCCACGUUUUUAGUUGCCAGCAUUUAGUUGGGCACUCUAGAGAGACCGCCGGUGAUAAACCGGAGGAAGGUGUGGAUGACGUCAAGUCAUCAUGCCCCUUACAUCCUGGGCUACACACGUACUACAAUGCUACGGACAAAGGGCAGCAAGUUCGCGAGGACAAGCAAAUCCCAUAAACCGUGGCUCAGUUCAGAUCGUAGGCUGCAACUCGCCUACGUGAAGAAGGAAUCGCUAGUAAUCGCAGGUCAGCAUACUGCGGUGAAUACGUUCCCGGGCCUUGUACACACCGCCCGUCACACCAUGGAAGUUGGCCACGCCCGAAGUCGUUACUCCAACCCUUGUGGAGGAGGACGCCGAAGGUGGGGCUGAUGACUGGGGUGAAGUCGUAACAAGGUAUCCGUACCGGAAGGUGCGGAUGGAUCACCUCCU
rnacentral:rRNA from 2 species